CUCCCCCGCCCUCGCAGCUCACCGCCGCCUCUCCUCCCCUCCCGCGCGCCUCCUCUCCCCUCCCCUCCCGUCCCGCCUCCUCUCCUCCCACCCACAUCGCCGCCGCCGCCACCCACCGCCUCGAACCGCGCCGGAGCAGCAGCAGCAGGCCAAGGCGGCGCAGCAGCAGGCCUUGGGCGACGAGCAGCAGUGGAGGGAGGACGAGGAGCACGACGGCGGCGGCGGCGGGGAGCGGCAGCAGCAGGCCAAGGCGGCGCUGCCCUUCUCCGCCAUGUGCAUGCGGAUCUCCCGCGACUCCUACCCCAACCUCCACGCCCUCCACAACGCCUCCAACGACAGCCUCACCAACGCCGCCUACGUCAAGAUCUCCGAGGGCGACUUCGGAUACGUCCUCGACGACGUGCCCCACCUCGCUGACUACCUCCCCGUGAGCAGCCACCCAUCCCCUUCCCUGCUCCUCCUCGCUCGACCGCUCGUCGGCUCGUGGCGAUGGGUUCUAUGCGGUGCAGCUUUAGCUAGCGACUGUCAGUGGGGCGGGCGUGAGCAGUGAAAUUGUCCGGCGCGGGCGAUUACCCUUUUUUGGCGUGCAAGCCUGAGAGCCUGCAGUGUUGCUGAUUAGUCGGCCACGAUCCGCAGAUAGAGGGCAACUCUGAUGAAUACGUACUAGCAAAGCUGUGCAAAAUCUGUGAAUUCUGUUUUCGUUCCUUACUGUUGGUGCCGUCUGCUUUUGGGAAUGGGAUUGUUGAUUAGGCAUCAGGCAACUCUGAUGAAUACUAGCAACUAUGGCUAUUCUGUGGAUUCAUAGUUCCAUAAGUUACUGUCGUUGGCUCUGCUUUUGGGAAUGGGAUAUUUGAUUGGGUAGAAUGGACGACAUCGAUACCGGAGAAGUAGUAAUCUGUUAGUAUCCUCCAGAAAAUCAUAGAGAAGGACGCCACGGUCUCAACAGGUGGGCAUCCAUUCUUCAGUCUGUUGAUUCUUUUGAAUUCACUGAAAUCACAUUUUGUACACGAGUUAGCUGCACUGGCCAAUGGAAGAAAAGAUAGCUAAUUGUGUAUGGAAUUCCUAAGUCUUUGUAUGUUCGUGCAGAAGGACGGCCUGCCGUCAAGUUGGACAGCAGAAUCAUAGAACUCUACAAAGUGUAUGGGUUGGUCAGCUCUUGAGCAAAUUCGCCAUAGUGACCGCCGAUGGCCUACAAGUCCAUCUCUUUCUCAAGCUCGAUUGCCUCUUAUUUUGCAGACUGAAAGGUGAGAUGAGGGGUUGUCAACAACAUCUAUGAAAUACUGGUUUGUGCCAUACUGCCCUAUUCUAAAUGGCCAUGUACAUCCUUGUAUCUUUGUCUGUGCCUUCAGUCAAAACAGACAAACAAUCUAAUGACCAAAAUAUACAAACAAUCUAUGCAAUACAGGUAUGUGCCCUGUUCUAAACAUACAAUGUCGACAAAACCAUAGGACUUGUCCCUCCCAUAGAUGCUUGUAUAAAUGUUACUCUCGCAUUUUUGUACAUGUCUAUCUAAAUUUGUCUUCUGUUAAAAGGACUCACCAGGUACCUUAAGAUCUCUAUAUUAUGGUCACACCAUAUCAAACGUUUCAGAUUGCAAUGCAUCUACUUCUUGACUGGAUCUACCAUAUUAUACUGAAAUAACUAUAAGAUGAAUUAUACCUGCUGUGAUUUUUAUUUUAUUUUUGUGAAAUAUUCUCUUCAGAUUGCCGCGCGCCACCCGCCCUUCGCAUGUGUAAUCACUUAAAGUAAACUGUCUUUUAAAUUGAAUUCAUUAUUCCAAGACACCCUGAAUAUAAUUGAGCAGAACACAAAACCAAACUCCGAGCAAGAGAUUUCAGUAGAGCUAUGAGCCUAAGUAGAAAUUGUGGAGGAAACUAGGUAAAAAAAUGUUGCACAUUGAUAUGUUUUUUUGGGUAAAUAGGCCUAUGGUAGCAUCAUUUAUAGGUAAUUAUAAACAAAAGGGCAAAAUAAGCUUUGUUGUUAUAUGCUGUUGAGUUUUUAAUGGCUAUCAAACACAGCAUCAUGCUUGUGUGUCUUCUUAUAAACACACGCCUUUGUUGUUUCUCGCCGUUUUCCUUUAAAUUACGUAUAUAUGUACAUGGAAUGCUUCUCCCUGUCAAUAACUAGAUCCCCCCUUGUUUGACAGGUUAAUUAAUCCUACAUUUCAGUAUCAACCAACAUCUGUUCCUUCUUGAGCUCUCAACCCUGGGGUACACCUCCAGGUCAAGGCGCACCUCUUGUCUCAUCGAUGAUGCAGCCCCUGGGCAUCACUCGCUCUCAGCUAGCUAGGUAAGUACUGCAGGGACUCUGCUGCAUUUCAAUCACUUGAUGUUUGUCUACCAUGGAGUAGAGUUUAAGACCGCCCCGCAUGAUUUGAUGAUAUUCUUUUUUGAGCAUCGGCUCUGGUGCAUUCUUACUCACCACCGGGUACUUUGAAGCUAAUAAUGUUCCAGAUUGGUGGCAUUCUGUUUGAAGCAUGCUGGUUUGGUUUUGCAGCAGUUUUAACUUAAAUAGUGGUUCAGUUUUGCCUUCAAUAGUGGUUUUGCAACUAAUUAUUUGUUGAUCUAUUGGUUUGAUUGGAAACAGGUGGGGUCUUCUGUGUGAGCAGACUACCUAUAAGAAUCGUCAGCGCCUUUACCUAUCAGAGCAGGUACUAAUCUUGGUGUGAGCUCAAGGCAAUAGGCAAUUAUGAAGGUAGGCAAUCGUCAUUAGCCAGGUAGUUGGACAUGGUCUAGUCUCUUAGCAUAAUCUAAAAGUAUCUAAUGCAGUACUCAAUAUUAGUAGUCAUUUGAAAAAUAUGCCAGUGUCUUGUUUGUCAUGUCCAUUCUAUUAAUCUAGAAGAAACCGAGAGCAUACACUCACACUUUCAUCGAACCCAAAUUGUUAACCUGGGAUAAGUAGAUAUCAGUCACACUUUGUUCUUACUUUUCUGGCUUUUCUAUGUUCUUACUUUUUUUGCACUUUCCUUCCAUUUCCAUAGAUGCCAGGGCUGGUUGCCUUGUGUACCAUGGUGAGAAGUAGCACCAGUAGGUCGGCUCAGUCCCAAUGGCAAUGUUCUUUGUUAUUUUUUUAUUAUUCAACCACAUACAUUUGUCUCUUCCUGAUGGCCUUGGUAACUUGAAAAUCUGCAGUGCCAUAUUGGCUCCCUCUGCCGAGCACCAUGGAGGAGGUGAGCGGUUGUCUCUAGAAUCCUUUUUCAUCCUGUGAUACUUACUGUUCUGCCCUUGGAUGGUCAAUCUUGUUGAGUGAUAACCAGGGCAGCUCAACUGUAUAAACAGAUUGAUCUGGUGAUAAGAGAUGACGGGGGUAGGUUAUAUGAUCGAGGAAAUGCGAAUCUGAGCCCACUAUGCAUUGAACCCUGAACCCUUUUUAUUUGUAUUUAAAGGUGUUGCUUAUUUAUGCUCCAGUGUUUAUAGCCGUCUUAUGUAAAGAUUUCUUCUCUCUCAUACCUUUAUUGCAUAUAAGUUGUUCUUGAUCUUUUGAUCUUUCAAAGAUGCUUAUAUGGUAGUAUAGAAAGUUUCUGAUUAUGACACCAUAUUCAUUGAACUUGAUCUGUUAUGUGAUUUAAACUUUGCUUUUCCCAAUCACCAUGUGUUUUCCAAAAUUACUAUUAAAACAACUUUGUUCUUCCUAGAGUACCGGCAGCAACCACAUCAUGAAAGGGUCGAGGGGAAGAUGAUCUGAUAUGUGUCACUGAAAGCGAAGCUCAAGCCAUUUUUGUCGUUGUAUGACAAGGCUGUCGAUGUCAUCACUGAGCCUCCUUCUUUGCUUCAGAGGCUUAUUGUGCUGCUAUAGUUCUCUGUCUCUUGUCCACUCGCCCAUCGUAGUGCAAAUUUGCACUUUACUUGAACUUUGUUGUGAUGAGAGAUUCAGUUUCUUUGGGCAAAAGGUCUGGCCAAACAAAUAAAUGCAUGAUAUUUAUCUUUUGGUUUCUACCAUACCAAAGCAAGGUAUUUCACGUCAUAUUUUAUAACAAAUGCGUCGAUGGCAUGCAUAUAUAGGGUCAUCUUUUUAGAUAUAUUUUACGGGGUGAUUACUACUGUGAGUAUCUACCAUCACCUACUCAGAUAUAUUUCCAUCCUGAGAUAUAUUGAGUAAUAUCAGAUGUUAAUUGAAAUAUUUAUAUCAGAGGUUUGAUCAUUGAACUUAGUUGAUUAAUACCUUGAUACAUUUCUAUCCUAAGAUAGUCCCUACAUUUCCAUCCUGAGAUACCUAUUUUUUUCUAGUACCGGGUUAGGAAAAACGGGAUUCUGUGGGAGUUGGGGUUGGGCAAGUAGCACCACUUUGAUUAAGUCCACAUCAUAAUUGAGAGGCAUUGUAGUAGUGGGUCAGUUCAUAGAAAAUGCCAUGUUUUAUAUGCAAUGCUUCAAUGGUUGUAUUACCGGGUUGGAUGAGUGCACCUGGAUACGGACAAGAGACCAACAAUAACAAACAAUUGGUCAAGAUCUGUCAAAGCGGCAGGGAUCAGAGAGUAUCAUAUGUGUCUUUGCUUUCAAAAUUGAAAAGGGGAACCAUCACUCCCUGGUUAUAAGCUUUAAAAGGCUAAGGUACAAAAAUGCAAGUGCAUUUUUUGUCUACACAUAAAUUGGUCUAUGCAAUAUAUCUAACACAUUGCCUGCAUCAGGUUAAGUGACGUGCCAUCUAUGAAGUUGAUCGAGAAGGCAGCCGAAUGAAGCAACUAAGUAGUAUGCCUAAGAAGCUAUGGCUACGUAGUUUUUAUUUAUUUAUAUUGUGUUCCUGCUCUUGGUACUUCCUCUCUCAUAUUCACGCUCUUAGUACCGAGCUUAAUAUCAAGUGGUUACCUUUUGUGGUCUCAUGAACGCACUAAAUUGAAUGCUGCCUUAUUUCU